GAUGAACGCUAGCUACAGGCUUAACACAUGCAAGUCGAGGGGAAACGACAUCGAAAGCUUGCUUUUGAUGGGCGUCGACCGGCGCACGGGUGAGUAACGCGUAUCCAACCUGCCCACCACUUGGGGAUAACCUUGCGAAAGUAAGACUAAUACCCAAUGAUAUCUCUAGAAGACAUCUGAAAGAGAUUAAAGAUUUAUCGGUGAUGGAUGGGGAUGCGUCUGAUUAGCUUGUUGGCGGGGUAACGGCCCACCAAGGCUACGAUCAGUAGGGGAUCUGGAGGGAAGGUCCCCCACGUUGGAACUGAGACACGGUCCAAACUCCGACGGGAGGCAGCAGUGAGGAAUAUUGGUCAAUGGGCGAGAGCCUGAACCAGCCAAGUAGCGUGCAGGAUGACGGCCCUAUGGGUUGUAAACUGCUUUUAUAAGGGAAUAAAGUGAGCCUCGUGAGGCUUUUUGCAUGUACCUUAUGAAUAAGGACCGGCUAAUUCCGUGCCAGCCGCCGCCGUAA
rnacentral:rRNA from 1 species